UGAUAUCUGAUUAGCUAGUUGGUGAGGUAAAGGCUCACCAAGGCGACGAUCAGUAGCUGGUCUGAGAGGACGACCAGCCACACUGGAACUGAGACACGGUCCAGACUCCUACGGGAGGCAGCAGUGGGGAAUUUUGGACAAUGGGGGCAACCCUGAUCCAGCCAUUCCGCGUGAGUGAAGAAGGCCUUCGGGUUGUAAAGCUCUUUCGCAAGGGAAGAAACGAUACAGGCGAAUAACUUGUGUUAAUGACGGUACCUUGAUAAGAAGCACCGGCUAACUACGUGCCAGCAGCCGCGGUAAUACGUAGGGUGCGAGCGUUAAUCGGAAUUACUGGGCGUAAAGCGUGCGCAGGCGGUUUUGUAAGACAGGCGUGAAAUCCCCGGGCUUAACCUGGGAACUGCGUUUGAAACUACAAGGCUAG
rnacentral:rRNA from 1 species